rnacentral:rRNA from 1 species
UACGUAGGGAGCAAGCGUUGUCCGGAAUCAUUGGGCGUAAAGCGCGCGUAGGUGGCCUCAUAAGUCCGCUGUGAAAGUCAAAGGCUCAACCUUUGAAAGCCGGUGGAUACUGUGGGGCUAGAGUACGGAAGAGGGAAGCGGAAUUUCCGGUGUAGCGGUGAAAUGCGUAGAUAUCGGAAGGAACACCAGUGGCGAAAGCGGCUUCCUGGUCCAGCACCGACGUUCAGGCACGAAAGCGUGGGGAGCAAACAGG